rnacentral:rRNA from 1 species
GUCGUACGAGAACUCUUUAGCUUGCUAAAGAUAGUAAAGUGGCGUACGGGUGAGUAACACGUGGGUAAUCUACCUCCGAAUUGGGGAUAACAUUGCGAAAGCGAUGCUAAUACCGAAUAAUAUCUUUUUAGCCCCGGCUUUAAAGAUCAAAGGUGGUCACUACAUGUAAACUACUGUUUGGAGAUGAGCCCGCGCACCAUUAGCUUGUUGGUAGGGUAAUGGCCUACCAAGGCUUCGAUGGUUAGCUGGUCUGAGAGGAUGAUCAGCCACACUGGAACUGACACACGGUCCAGACUCCUACGGGAGGCAGCAGUGAGGAAUUUUGCGCAAUGGGGGAAACCCUGACGCAGCAACGCCGCGUGAGUGAUGAAGGCUUUCGAGUCGUAAAGCUCCGUCAAGUGGGAAGAACUUAAAAUAGGAUAAUACCCUGUUUUACUGACGGUACCACUGAAGGAAGCACCGGCUAACUCCGUGCCAGCAGCCGCGGUAAUACGGAGGGUGCAAGCGUUAUUCGGAAUUAUUGGGCGUAAAGGGCGCGUANGCGGCUACUUAUGUCANAUGUGAAAUCCCGGGGCUUAACCCCGGAAGUGCAUUUGAAACUGA